rnacentral:rRNA from 1 species
UACGUAGGGUGCAAGCGUUUAUCCGGAAUUAUUGGGCGUAAAGAGCUCGUAGGCGGCUUGUCGCGUCGACUGUGAAAUCCCGCGGCUCAACUGCGGGUCUGCAGUCGAUACGGGCAGGCUAGAGUUCGGUAGGGGAGACUGGAAUUCCUGGUGUAGCGGUGAAAUGUGCAGAUAUCAGGAGGAACACCGGUGGCGAAGGCGGGUCUCUGGGCCGAUACUGACGCUGAGGAGCGAAAGCGUGGGGGAGCGAACAGG